rnacentral:tRNA from 1 species
GAGGACAGAGCUCAGUGGUAAAGCAUGUGCUUAGCAUGCACAAGGUCCUCAGUUCAAUCCUCAGUACCUCCA